rnacentral:rRNA from 1 species
AUUGAACGCUGGCGGCAUGCCUCACACAUGCAAGUCGAACGGCAGCACGGGGCAACCUGGUGGCGAGUGGCGAACGGGUGAGUAAUGCAUCGGAACGUACCUUUCAGUGGGGGAUAACGUAGCGAAAGUUACGCUAAUACCGCAUAUUCUGUGAGCAGGAAAGCAGGGGAUCGCAAGACCUUGCGCUGAUUGAGCGGCCGAUGUCAGAUUAGCUAGUUGGUGAGGUAAAGGCUCACCAAGGCGACGAUCUGUAGCGGGUCUGAGAGGAUGAUCCGCCACACUGGAACUGGAACACGGUCCAGACCCCUCCGGGAGGCAGCAGUGGGGAAUUUUGGACAAUGGGGGCAACCCUGAUCCAGCCAUGCCGCGUGAGUGAAGAAGGCCUCCGGGUUGUAAAGCUCUUUCGGCCGGGAAGAAAUCGCACGGGCUAAUACCCUGUGUGGAUGACGGUACCGGAAUAAGAAGCACCGGCUAACUACGUGCUAGCAGCCGCCGUAAAAC